rnacentral:lncRNA from 1 species
GAGUAUAUGUGAAUCUUAAAAAAGAAAGAAAGAGAGUAUAUGUGAAUUGGGGUUCGCAGUCAAAAUGCUGGCCAUGUGCGGUCCAUCUUUGCUGCAGUAGUUAAGUCAAACAAGUAUCUGUCACCGCGCACAGCUGACACGGAGAAGAAAGCGGGCAUUACCUGUUUUACUUACCUGACACGGAGAACACGGAGAAGAAAGCUGACUCGUUAGUUCGUAGAAAUUCAAAACUCGUGCUCAGAAUGCGCUCUCCGGGCGGGACAUUUAGUC